UUUACAGGCUUUCAGUGAUGUAACAUCUCAUUAUCCUAGAGGAAUGAUGGACAUGUUACGGGAAUUGGAGCUUCCACAUAGAGGGCGCCACCAUAGCGGGAUAGAUGAUUGUAGGAACAUAGCAGCCAUUGCUGUGGAGCUGAUCAAAAGAGGUCAUGUGUUUAAGCAGACAUCUUUUCCUUGACCUCAGACAGAGCGUCAUCUGCUGGAUCAGAGGUCAAAGUCUAAAGAAAUAACUGCACAUGCUCAGAAUCUAGACUGUCUAGAUAAACAUCAGUGGCAGGAGAUUUGAAGUUCUUACUCUGUGAUAAACUAUAGCUGGGAUCUUAAUGUUCUGUCAGGAGAGCUUCUACAAACUGAGGCCACUGGCCGCACUCUCUGAGUGAAAACCAUUCACUAAGUUUAGAAUUUCUGUGAUAACUUUUAAGUUUCAUGAGUUUUUGUUUUGUAAACUGAAAAUGUUCAAUAUAGUCUGAAUAAUUUUUCAAGAUGUGUUGUACUCUGUUUUCCAUUGGAAGGUUAAUACGAUAAUUCUGUGCUUUCCUCAUCUCUGAGUGUAAAUUCGUGGUACAUGUACAUUGCCUAUACGAACACUCUCUGACUCUAACCACACUACUUUCUCCGGAGUAAAGGAUCGGAGCUUUUCU